rnacentral:rRNA from 1 species
GGGUUGUGAGGUUAAGCGACUAAGCGUACACGGUGGAUGCCCUGGCAGUCAGAGGCGAUGAAGGACGUGCUAAUCUGCGAUAAGCGUCGGUAAGGUGAUAUGAACCGUUAUAACCGGCGAUUUCCGAAUGGGGAAACCCAGUGUGUUUCGACACACUAUCAUUAACUGAAUCCAUAGGUUAAUGAGGCGAACCGGGGGAACUGAAACAUCUAAGUACCCCGAGGAAAAGAAAUCAACCGAGAUUCCCCCAGUAGCGGCGAGCGAACGGGGAGCAGCCCAGAGCCUGAAUCAGUGUGUGUGUUAGUGGAAGCGUCUGGAAAGGCGCGCGAUACAGGGUGACAGCCCCGUACACAAAAAUGCACAUGCUGUGAGCUCGAUGAGUAGGGCGGGACACGUGGUAUCCUGUCUGAAUAUGGGGGGACCAUCCUCCAAGGCUAAAUACUCCUGACUGACCGAUAGUGAACCAGUACCGUGAGGGAAAGGCGAAAAGAACCCCGGCGAGGGGAGUGAAAAAGAACCUGAAACCGUGUACGUACAAGCAGUGGGAGCACGCUUAGGCGUGUGACUGCGUACCUUUUGUAUAAUGGGUCAGCGACUUAUAUUCUGUAGCAAGGUUAACCGAAUAGGGGAGCCGAAGGGAAACCGAGUCUUAACUGGGCGUUAAGUUGCAGGGUAUAGACCCGAAACCCGGUGAUCUAGCCAUGGGCAGGUUGAAGGUUGGGUAACACUAACUGGAGGACCGAACCGACUAAUGUUGAAAAAUUAGCGGAUGACUUGUGGCUGGGGGUGAAAGGCCAAUCAAACCGGGAGAUAGCUGGUUCUCCCCGAAAGCUAUUUAGGUAGCGCCUCGUGAAUUCAUCUCCGGGGGUAGAGCACUGUUUCGGCAAGGGGGUCAUCCCGACUUACCAACCCGAUGCAAACUGCGAAUACCGGAGAAUGUUAUCACGGGAGACACACGGCGGGUGCUAACGUCCGUCGUGAAGAGGGAAACAACCCAGACCGCCAGCUAAGGUCCCAAAGUCAUGGUUAAGUGGGAAACGAUGUGGGAAGGCCCAGACAGCCAGGAUGUUGGCUUAGAAGCAGCCAUCAUUUAAAGAAAGCGUAAUAGCUCACUGGUCGAGUCGGCCUGCGCGGAAGAUGUAACGGGGCUAAACCAUGCACCGAAGCUGCGGCAGCGACGCUUAUGCGUUGUUGGGUAGGGGAGCGUUCUGUAAGCCUGCGAAGGUGUGCUGUGAGGCAUGCUGGAGGUAUCAGAAGUGCGAAUGCUGACAUAAGUAACGAUAAAGCGGGUGAAAAGCCCGCUCGCCGGAAGACCAAGGGUUCCUGUCCAACGUUAAUCGGGGCAGGGUGAGUCGACCCCUAAGGCGAGGCCGAAAGGCGUAGUCGAUGGGAAACAGGUUAAUAUUCCUGUACUUGGUGUUACUGCGAAGGGGGGACGGAGAAGGCUAUGUUGGCCGGGCGACGGUUGUCCCGGUUUAAGCGUGUAGGCUGGUUUUCCAGGCAAAUCCGGAAAAUCAAGGCUGAGGCGUGAUGACGAGGCACUACGGUGCUGAAGCAACAAAUGCCCUGCUUCCAGGAAAAGCCUCUAAGCAUCAGGUAACAUCAAAUCGUACCCCAAACCGACACAGGUGGUCAGGUAGAGAAUACCAAGGCGCUUGAGAGAACUCGGGUGAAGGAACUAGGCAAAAUGGUGCCGUAACUUCGGGAGAAGGCACGCUGAUAUGUAGGUGAAGCGACUUGCUCGUGGAGCUGAAAUCAGUCGAAGAUACCAGCUGGCUGCAACUGUUUAUUAAAAACACAGCACUGUGCAAACACGAAAGUGGACGUAUACGGUGUGACGCCUGCCCGGUGCCGGAAGGUUAAUUGAUGGGGUUAGCGCAAGCGAAGCUCUUGAUCGAAGCCCCGGUAAACGGCGGCCGUAACUAUAACGGUCCUAAGGUAGCGAAAUUCCUUGUCGGGUAAGUUCCGACCUGCACGAAUGGCGUAAUGAUGGCCAGGCUGUCUCCACCCGAGACUCAGUGAAAUUGAACUCGCUGUGAAGAUGCAGUGUACCCGCGGCAAGACGGAAAGACCCCGUGAACCUUUACUAUAGCUUGACACUGAACAUUGAGCCUUGAUGUGUAGGAUAGGUGGGAGGCUUAGAAGUGUGGACGCCAGUCUGCAUGGAGCCGACCUUGAAAUACCACCCUUUAAUGUUUGAUGUUCUAACGUUGACCCGUAAUCCGGGUUGCGGACAGUGUCUGGUGGGUAGUUUGACUGGGGCGGUCUCCUCCUAAAGAGUAACGGAGGAGCACGAAGGUUGGCUAAUCCUGGUCGGACAUCAGGAGGUUAGUGCAAUGGCAUAAGCCAGCUUGACUGCGAGCGUGACGGCGCGAGCAGGUGCGAAAGCAGGUCAUAGUGAUCCGGUGGUUCUGAAUGGAAGGGCCAUCGCUCAACGGAUAAAAGGUACUCCGGGGAUAACAGGCUGAUACCGCCCAAGAGUUCAUAUCGACGGCGGUGUUUGGCACCUCGAUGUCGGCUCAUCACAUCCUGGGGCUGAAGUAGGUCCCAAGGGUNNNGCUGUUCGCCAUUUAAAGUGGUACGCGAGCUGGGUUUAGAACGUCGUGAGACAGUUCGGUCCCUAUCUGCCGUGGGCGCUGGAGAACUGAGGGGGGCUGCUCCUAGUACGAGAGGACCGGAGUGGACGCAUCACUGGUGUUCGGGUUGUCAUGCCAAUGGCACUGCCCGGUAGCUAAAUGCGGAAGAGAUAAGUGCUGAAAGCAUCUAAGCACGAAACUUGCCCCGAGAUGAGUUCUCCCUGACCCUUUAAGGGUCCUGAAGGAACGUUGAAGACGACGACGUUGAUAGGCCGGGUGUGUAAGCGCAGCGAUGCGUUGAGCUAACCGGUACUAAUGAACCGUGAGGCUUAACCUUACAACGCCGAAGCUGUU